rnacentral:tRNA from 1 species
GUGGUAUAGCCCGGUCAAGUAUGGCGGCCUCUCGAGCCGCAGACCCGAGUUCAAAUCUCGGC